rnacentral:rRNA from 1 species
UACGUAGGGCGCAAGCGUUAUCCGGAAUUAUUGGGCGUAAAGAGCUCGUAGGCGGUUUGUCGCGUCUGCCGUGAAAGUCCGGGGCUCAACUCCGGAUCUGCGGUGGGUACGGGCAGACUAGAGUGAUGUAGGGGAGACUGGAAUUCCUGGUGUAGCGGUGAAAUGCGCAGAUAUCAGGAGGAACACCGAUGGGGAAGGCAGGUCUCUGGGCAUUAACUGACGCUGAGGAGCGAAAGCAUGGGGAGCGAACAGG